AGAUGCUAAUGGUUGUAAUUAACAAGGCAGUUUUCAGAUGUUUUUUCUUCAGGAACUUGAAAAGAAUAGGUCUAAAUCCAUGCAAAAAGAAGAGAAUAGGUCUAAAUGAUUAAGCAUCACUUCUGCCAUUAGUUGCAAAACUUGUUUUGUGGGUCAAUGGGUAGGAAAGAAAGAUUCGACAGUUGCUUAAGAGUAACUAUGUCAAAUGCCAACAUAAGUAACGAUUUUAUUUCUGAGUUAGGUACGAAAGAAUGUGAUAGAGAAAAAAGAUUUUGCUUUAUCUAAAGAAUGUGAUAGAUAUAAAGGAGUUUGCUUUAUCUCUUAUCCCGCCUAUGACGUGAAUAUGUUUAGCUCAUAUGUGUAUGUCAUUAACUGAUUAGCAGUUUAGCACAAGACCAUUUUUCUGCUUCUUUGGUUGAGUAUCCUCUCUUCAAAUUUUUUGAUUGAUGCACCAAACAGUAAUUUGUAGUUUGUUACUCUAGAGGUUAAGAAAAUAUACUUCGGGCUUGGGGAUUUUUUUUGAGUAAAAACUAAUCAUGGUUAAUGUUUCAGAUGUAAGAUGUUGUCUGCACCCCGUGUAAUUUUCGUCAGUUUCUUUUCUCAGUGUGGAGACUAUGCCAGUGGAGAGACCAACGACGAUUACCUUGAGAUAGUGGGAUGUGCAUGGAAGGAGCGACUAACUAUGUAGAGGAAAGCUGCGCUCGCCGGCACUGGUCAGGGGCCUAAAUGAUUGAGGAGUGAAAUUAGAUCAUGGCCUUUCAUGUUUGAAGGGAUAUAGUAUUACGAUAACUCUCAAAAAUCAAUAUUGUAUAAUGACAGAAGUUAAUAAUCUAAAUCAGCAGGAGCAAGCUUUGGAUGAGUGUAUAUACUAGCGAGAUGUGCGGAAAGCUAAGCGGGUUAAUGGAAGAUGAGAAUGGUCGAAGCAGAGUUGCGGUGACGGUGUCAACCAUGAUGUUAUAGGGAGAUGCACUACUGGAUGCCAUUCUAUUUGCUCCAUGUGCAAUUUGGUAAAAUUGAUUCAUGUUUUAAAUUCAAAAGUUAUGUUCUUUCAGGUUGUAAACUGCAUCCUAUAGUUAUUCAUGCAUUUUUGUCGACGUGAUGACACGUAUAAAACACAUUGUCAAUGUUUAGAUGAUGGUGGUAUAAGAAGAAAAUAAACUGCUAUUUUUUAUCCUCGACAAGAUAUUUUGGGUCCUUUUUCUGUGCUAGCAUCUUUUCUUUUGGAAUGGGAUAGUUAAUGGUGCUCUUAUAAAAAAAAUUGUUGUCUCCCUUCAUUCCGAAAUAUAAGCCCUUUUAGAGAUUUCAAUAGGACUACAUACGGAUGUAUAAGCUUCAUAUGUAGUCCAUAUUGGAAUCUCUAGAAAGGCUUAUAUUUAGGAACGGAGGGAGUACAAGAAAAACAACUGCGGCCACCUUUUUUUA